CUUAGUUCAUUUCUUGUUUUUUAUUUUAUUCACAGUCAAUAUGAAUGAGGUGUUUGAGGUUUGGGAAUAAUGUUGAUAAUAAUGCCUUCUCCAUUGUCUCAUUUGGUUAUUGAAAUCUCUGACCUAAUUUCAAAUUGAUAUUUUCUGUUCUAGCUGGAAAAUCUGCAGAUAGAGGUCCUGGUAGUUCACAAAAACAAUACUUUCAAGUCAGUUUGUACGUUUCCGUACCUCUGCUUAUCAUUACUAUUGCCCUUUUAAUUAAUCAGGAUAAAAUAAGAAAGCAAUGCUUCAGAGAGGAAAGUGAAGCUGACAGAUCUAUGGCAGAAGAAAACACUACCACUAGCAGCAUCAAGUCAUCCCCCACUGAAAACAACAGUUCCUAACUACCUUGAAUGCUAAUAUCUGAGAGAGAAGAAAGUACCAAAUCUAUCAUCAUAAACUGGCUUGAAUCAAGAAGGAAAAAACAAUCUCUCAGCUCUGUUGUCACUACUAAAGGGUUGAAACUAUGAAAAAAAUAAAUCACCUUGCCCAAAAUCUCCUGAGUUA
rnacentral:lncRNA from 1 species